rnacentral:misc_RNA from 1 species
AGUCGUAACAAGGUUUCCGUAGGUGAACCUGCGGAAGGAUCAUUGAAUCCAUCCACAUCCACUCGCGAAUUAUAUUGUACCCCUCAUUCUAUCCCUCGGGGAUGUUUGAGCGGCUGGCUCUCGGGCCAGUCGGGCUCUUGCAACUAGUGCAGUUGCGGGGGUUGGCAAACCCCAACCACACACCCAACCAAACUGUCUGUCUGAAGAUGACUCGAUUCGGCACUGCUGAUCGAUUAACUAAGACAACUCUCAACAACGGAUAUCUUGGCUCUC